GGAAUCUUGCGCAAUGGGCGAAAGCCUGACGCAGCGACGCCGCGUGCGGGAAGAAGGCUUUCGGGCUGUAAACCGCUUUCAGCAGGAACGAAAAUGACGGUACCUGCAGAAGAAGGAGCGGCCAACUAUGUGCCAGCAGCCGCGGUGAUACAUAGGCUUCAAGCGUUGUCCGGAUUUAUUGGGCGUAAAGAGUUCGUAGGCGGUCGAGUAAGUCGGGUGUGAAAAUUCUGGGCUCAACCCAGAAACGCCACCCGAUACUGCUUAACUUGAGUUCGAUAGGGGAGUGGGGAAUUCCUAGUGUAGCGGUGAAAUGCGCAGAUAUUAGGAGGAACACCGGUGGCGAAGGCGCCACUCUGGAUCGAUACUGACGCUGAGGAACGAAAGCAUGGGUAGCAAACAGGAUUAGAUACCCUGGUAGUCCAUGCCGUAAACGGUGGGCACUAGGUGUGGGAUUCUAUUAACGAAUUCCGCGCCGUCGCUAACGCAUUAAGUGCCCCGCCUGGGGAGUACGGUCGCAAGAUUAAAACUCAAAUGAAUUGACGG
rnacentral:rRNA from 1 species